rnacentral:rRNA from 1 species
AGUGAACGCUGGCGGCGUGCCUAAUACAUGCAAGUCGAGCGAAUGGAUUGAGAGCUUGCUCUUAUGAAGUUAGCGGCGGACGGGUGAGUAACACGUGGGUAACCUGCCCAUAAGACUGGGAUAACUCCGGGAAACCGGGGCUAAUACAGGAUAACAUUUUGAACCGCAUGGCUCGAAAUUGAACGGCGGCUUCGGCUGUCACUUAUGGAUGGACCCGCGUCGCAUUAGCUAGUUGAUGAGGUAACGGCUCACCAAGGCAACGAUGCGUAGCCGACCUAAGAGGGUGAUCGGCCACACUGGGACUGAGACACGGCCCAGACUCCUACGGGAGGCAGCAGUAGGGAAUCUUCCGCAAUGGACGAAAGUCUGACGGAGCAACGCCGCGUGAGUGAUGAAGGCUUUCGGGUCGUAAAACUCUGUUGUUAGGGAAGAACAAGUGCUAGUUGAAUAAGCUGGCACCUUGACGGUACCUAACCAGAAAGCCACGGCUAACUACGUGCCAGCCGCCGCAGUAA